rnacentral:rRNA from 1 species
AUCGAUGAAGAACGCAGCGAAAUGCGAUAAGUAAUGUGAAUUGCAGAAUUCAGUGAAUCAUCGAAUCUUUGAACGCACAUUGCGCCCCCUGGUAUUCCGGGGGGCACACCUGUUCGAGCGCCAUUUCUACCCUGGAGCCCUGCUCUGUGAUGGGCCCCGUCCUCGCGGACGGGCCCGAAACCCGUGGGCGCCGUCGUCCGGCCCUGAGCGUAGCAAGAGAAAUCCCUCGCUCGGAGUGCCUGCCGGUGGCCGCCCCGACCCAUUUUAACAAGGUUGGCCUCGGAUCAGGUGGGGAUACCCGCUGAACUUAAGCAUAUCAAUAAGCGGAGGAAAAGAAACCAACAGGGAUUGCCUCAGUAACGGCGAGUGAAGCGGCAACAGCUCAAAUUUGAAAUCUGGCUCACGCCCGAGUUGUAAUUUGUAGAGGAUGUUUCGGGUGAAGCCGCGGUCCAAGUCCCUUGGAACAGGACGUCAUAGAGGGUGAGAACCCCGUACCUGGCCGCCGGUGCCCCCCGCUGUGAAACUCCUUCGACGAGUCGAGUUGUUUGGGAAUGCAGCUCUAAAUUGGUGGUAAAUUCCAUCUAAAGCUAAAUACCGGCCAGAGACCGAUAGCGCACAAGUAGAGUGAUCGAAAGAUGAAAAGCACUUUGAAAAGAGAGUUAAAAAGUACGUGAAAUUGUUGAAAGGGAAGCGCUUGCGGCCAGACUUGCCCGCGGUUGCUCAGCCCGCCUUUUGGCGGGUGCACUCUUCCGCGGUCAGGCCAGCAUCGGUUUGGGCGGCCGGAUAAAGGCGUUGGGAACGUGGCCUCCCCUCGGGGAGGUGUUAUAGCCCGGCGCGCAAUGCGACCAGCCCGGACCGAGGUUCGCGCUUUGCUAGGAUGCUGGCGUAAUGGCCGUAAGCGGCCCGUCUUGAAACACGG